UACGUAGGGUGCGAGCGUUGUCCGGAAUUAUUGGGCGUACAGAGCUUGUAGGCGGUUUGUCGCGUCUGCUGUGAAAAUCCGGGGCUCAACCCCGGACUUGCAGUGGGUACGGGCAGACUAGAGUGUGGUAGGGGAGACUGGAAUUCCUGGUGUAGCGGUGAAAUGCGCAGAUAUCAGGAGGAACACCGAUGGCGAAGGCAGGUCUCUGGGCCACUACUGACGCUGAGAAGCGAAAGCAUGGGGAGCGAACAGG
rnacentral:rRNA from 1 species